rnacentral:misc_RNA from 1 species
CAAGCAAGCCUAUUUUCACUGUAAUUUUGGAAUCGUUGUUUGUGGUGUUUGCAGAUUACAAAUUAGGAAUCUAGGGCCAUAAACCAUGUCAGUAUUUUUAAAAAACAGGCAUUUUUUAUUUCUAGCAAAUAUUGGAAAAUCAGUCUUUCUGCUGUCAUAAAUGGAAAAGUCCAUUAUUUAUUUUUAGAAAGACUGAUUUUCCAAUAUUUGCUAGAAAUAAAAAAUGCCUGUUUUUUAAAAAUACUGA